AUAUAAAUAAGAGAGAAAGGGAGAGAGAGAAAACAAAAUUACAGGAGGAGAGGGAAGAGAAAAAUUACAAAAAAAAUGAAAAAGAGAGGAAAAGGAAAUAAUGUAAGAGGAGAGAGAAAGAGAGAGAGAGAGAAAGGGAGGAAGAAAACAAUAUGAGAGAGAAACGGAGAGAAAAAAAGGAGUUACAGGAGGAGAGAGGAGGAAAAAAAAAACAAUCCAAGAGAAGGAAGAGGAAACUAAUCACUUGGAAAAGCAGAGGUGGGCAAGUGCGGUGGUGCGGUAGUGUGGUAGUGCGGUAGUGUGGUAGUGCGGUAGUGUGGUAGGGCGGUUGUGCGGUAGUGUGGUAGUGCGGUAGGGCGGUAGGGCGGUAGUGCGGUAGAGCAGUAGCAUCACAUCCCCAAAAAAGUACCGCACUACCGCAAAAUUUCUGAAAAUACCACACUACCGCGGACCACACUAAAAAUCCUACGGUACUUUUUUGCGGUACUCUGAAAUCUAUUGACAUUUGCAGCGCGGCAGGAAUGUUUAUUUUUUAUUUUUUUACAGUGAAUCGGACUCAACCAGUCAAUCGGUAUCAAUCAUCAGAGUCAGUAAUUCAAUCAUUCCGACUUGUUCAAAAUUGAAUACUAAAUAGACUGACUAAUCUACUACACUUCCGAGUCUUCUUUAACCCGCGCGGUGCUGGCCAUUUCAACCCCGGACCUGUCUGUGGUGCCGGACGAUUUUUCAUUGUACUAUUUUAAGCAUGUUUCCUUUGUUUGGAUAGCCAGGAUAGACACUCAAGUUGGAAAGUCUUGUUUAGUCGGCGCAACAUCUGUGGUCAUAUGCCGGAGAGAGACAGAAGGGGAAGGAAUUAUAGGAGAAGGGAAAGUUUUGUUUAGUGGGCGCAACAUCUGUGGUCAUAUGCCGGAGAGAGACAGAAGGGGAAGGAAUUAUAGGAGAAGGGAAAGUUUUGUUUAGUGGGCGCAACAUCUGUGGUCAUAUGCCGGAGAGAGACAGAAGGGGAAGGAAUUAUAGGAGAAGGGAACAUUUUGUUUAGUGGGCGCAACAUCUGUGGUCAUAUGCCGGAGAGAGACAGAAGGGGAAGGAAUUAUAGGAGAAGGGAAAGUUUUGUUUAGUGGGCGCAACAUCUGUGGUCAUAUACCGGAGAGAGGCAGAAGAGGAAGGAGUUAUAGGAGAAGGGAAAGUUUCGUUUAGUGGGCGCAACAUCUGUGGUCAUAUGCCGGAGAGAGACAGAAGGGGAAGGAAUUAUAGGAGAAGGGAAAGUUUUGUUUAGUGGGAGCAACAUCUGUGUUCAUAUACCGGAGAGAGGCAGAAGAGGAAGGAGUUAUAGGAGAAGGGAAAGUUUUGUUUAGUCGGCGCAACAUCUGUGGUCAUAUGCCAGAGAGAGACAGAAGGGGAAGGAAUUAUAGGAGAAGGGAAAGUUUUGUUUAGUGGGCGCAACAUCUGUGGUCAUAUGCCGGAGAGAGACAGAAGGGGAAGGAAUUAUAGGAGAAGGGAAAGUUUUGUUUAGUGGGCGCAACAUCUGUGGUCAUAUACCGGAGAGAGGCAGAAGAGGAAGGAGUUAUAGGAGAAGGGAAAGUUUCGUUUAGUGGGCGCAACAUCUGUGGUCAUAUGCCGGAGAGAGACAGAAGGGGAAGGAAUUAUAGGAGAAGGGCACAGACCCCAAGAGACGGGACACAACCCCUGAUUAAUACCUGGCACCCAUUCACUGCUGGGUGGACAGGGGCGUAGGGUAUCGGAAAAGCCGCCCAAAUUUUUCCACUCCGCCCGGGAAUCGAACCCGGGCUCUCUUGGUUGUGAGCUGAGUGUGCUAACCACUGCACCACGAAGCCCCUAGGCACUCAAGUAUAUUUUAAUUUAACCACCGCAGUACCGCACACCGCGUACCGCACCGGGAAAGAAAAAAUGGGACCACACUACCACAACCGCACUACUCCGGAAAAAGUACCGCACUACCACAAACACACUUACGAGUUUUCAUUACUGUGCCCACCUCUGUUGAAAAGAGAAAAAGGGAAAUGUUUUAAUAAUUCUCAAGUGGAUUUGUUUACUUUUCCUAUAUAUUCUUUGUUCUCUAUCUCUGCUUAAUUAGAUACCUGGGGGAGCCUGGGGGUGACACAUGGGUACCUGGGGAGAACUGGGGACUACUGGAAGUGGUUCUGUGGGGAGUAACUUAAACCCAUACGCUGGUGAUCAUUUGACCCGACCUCUGCACCAUGACCCGGAAACUGACCCAUGAAUACCCAGUUAAUCUACCCUGUGGCCUUGGGAAAUAGCCGGACUGGGACCCUGGGAUGUUUACAAAUACAGGGAUAAUGACCACUGGGGGAAGGGGAGGGACAGGAUGGAGAGGAUGAAAAAUUACCUACAAAAACCAUGAAAAAAAAAACAAUAUCCAUAGAAAUGAGAGCUGAAAUAGAGAGGACCUGGGAGUGACUUGCAAGGCUUUCUAUAAGGCUGUGGUGGGUGUGUGGGAAGCCUGAACAAGGGUUGAGGAAGGGCUGGAAAAGGCUUGGAUCACCCCUUAUGAGUUCGGACUUACAAUGGUGCUUUUUAGAGAAUUAGACAGAGGUGCUGGAGGUGGUGUGUAUGUAUAUGUGUGUGUGUGUGUGUGUGUGUGUGUGUGUGUGUAUUUACCUAGUUGUAUUUACCUAGUUGUGAAAUGCAGGAAAAGAACCGUGUGUGUGUGUGUGUGUAUUUACCUAGUUGUGAAAUACAGGAAAAGAGCUGUGUGUGUGUGUGUGUGUGUGUGUGUGUGUGUGUGUGUGUGAAAGAAGGACAGAUCAGGUAUAGUUCUAGUAAUUGGUUUAAAACUCCCAGGUAUUUUACAGGUGAGAGAAAGAGAACGAGAAGUCUAUUGAAGUAACUAGUGUUUUUUAAGUAAGGAAAGAUUUUGUGAUAGCACCCAGACUGUGACCGGACCCUUGAGAACAGAACACAGUGACUAGUGAACACACACACACGCACACACACACACAUAAAUAUAUCUUACCUUAUCUAACUUUUUCCUCCCUUCCCUUUUUUUCCCCUCCUUUCCCUUCCCUUCUUCUCUCCUCUCUCUUUCCCUUCCCUUCCUCUCCUUCUGUUUCUUUCCCUUUGCAUCCCUUCCUCUCCUUUCCCUUCCCUUCUCUUCUCUUUCUUUCCCUUUCCUUUCCUUUCCUUCCCUUCCCUUCCCUUCCUAACCAAAUCAAACCUUACCUAACCUAACCUUACCCAACACAAUAAUACCCUUCCCUUCUCUUCCCUUCUCUUCCUUUUCCUUCCCUUCUCCUCCUCUCCUUUCCUUCUGUUCCUUUCUCUUCCCUUCCCUUCCUUUCCUUUCCUUUCCCUUCCCUAAACAAACCCAACACAACAUGACCUAAACUUGACCUGACAAAACCUCAACAAAUGACCCUCAACUAACAUAUCAGACCCCCCAAUACACCCCCUUCCCCUCCCCCUCUAUUCCUCCCCUAUACAGCUUCACGCCACAGAGAGAGAAAGAGAGAGAGAGGUCAAAGAAGGGAAGGCAAGAGAGAGUAGGCCUAUAGAAUACCUUUGUACGUAAAUAACCUUGCAUACGUUUAAUACAUAUGUUGAUAGUUGUUAUAAAUACUUGGGUUCAAAUUGACGUGGAGUUUUGUCUCGUAGAAGGAGGAAGAUUUAAAAUGAAGUUACGUAAGUGGAAAUAGACAUUGAUGUUAUUGAUCUCUCUGUCAGAAGAAGGAAGGAAAGAAGAAUUACAGGAAAGAAAAGGAAGAAAUAAAAAGAAGAAUAAAAGCAAUGAUCAUCUUGUAGAAGGAAGAAGAUUAAAAUGAAGUUACAUAAGUGGAAAUAGACAUUGAUGUUACUGAGCUCUCUGUCGGAAGAAGGAAGGAAAGAAGAAUUACAGGAAAGAAAAGGAAGAAAUAAGAAAAAUGAUUAAGUAUAGAUCGUCUCAUAGAAGGAAGAAGAUUAAAAAUGAAGUUACAUAAGUGGAAAUAGACAUUGAUGUUAUUGAUCUCUCUGUCAGAAGAAGGAAGGAAAGAAGAAUUAGAGGAAAGAAAAGGAAGAAAUGAGAAAAAUGAUUAAGUAUAGAUCGUCUCAUAGAAGGAAGAAGAUUAAAAUGAAGUUACAUAAGUGGAAAUAGACAUUGAUGUUAUUGAUCUCUCUGUCGGAAGAAGGAAGGAAAGAAGAAUUACAGGAAAGAAAAGGAAGAAAUGAGAAAAAUGAUUAAGUAUAGAUCGUCUCGGAGAAGGAAGAAGAUUAUAAAAGAAAUUACUUAAGUUGAAAUAGAUAUUGAUGUUAUCGAUCUCUCUGUUGGAAGAAGAAAGAAAAGAAGAAUUAGGGAAAGAAAUAAGAGAGAUAGUAAAAUAAUUAAUAGUUUGUAAAGGAAUAAGAAGCAGAUAAAAAUGACAUAGAGAAAAUACAAGUACAUUAUGAUUUACUCUGUCUGAAGGAGGAAGGAAAGAAGAAUUACAGGAAAGAAAAGGAAGAAAUAAGAGAAAUGAUAAAAGUAAAUAGAAAAAGAAAGAAAAUGACAGAAAAA